rfam:Puccinia graminis f. sp. tritici CRL 75-36-700-3 supercont2.88 genomic scaffold, whole genome shotgun sequence.
GCCCGGUUAGCUCAGUCGGUAGAGCAUUCGGCUUUUACGCGCCCCUCACGGGGUCAACAUGAGACCGAAAUGUCGGGGGUUCGAGCCCCCCAUUGGGCG